ACCUACGGGGGGCAGCAGCGAGGAAUAUUGCGCAAUGGGCGCAAGCCUGACGCAGUAACGCCGCGUGCGGGAAGAAGGCCUUCGGGUCGUAAACCGCUUUUCGGAGGGACGAGGAAGGACGGUACCUCUGGAAUAAGUCUCGGCUAACUACGUGCCAGCAGCCGCGGUAAGACGUAGGAGGCGAGCGUUAUCCGGAUUCACUGGGCGUAAAGCGCGUGUAGGCGGUUCGGCAAGUCGGUUGUGAAAGCCCCUGGCUCAACUGGGGGAGGUCAGCCGAAACUGCGGGACUGGAGGGUCAGAGAGGAAGGUGGAAUUCCCGGUGUAGCGGUGGAAUGCGUAGAGAUCGGGAGGAACACCAGUGGCGAAAGCGGCCUUCUGGCUGACCACUGACGCUGAGACGCGAAAGCGUGGGUAGCAAACGGGAUUAGAUACCCCGGUAGA
rnacentral:rRNA from 1 species